rnacentral:RNase_P_RNA from 1 species
UGGGUCGGUGAGACGGUCGCGUCGCGGCACCGCGGUGCACGCGCCGAGGAACGUCCGGGCUCCGCAGGGGAGAACGGUGGGUAACACCCACCCGGGGCAACCCGCGAGAAAGUGCAACAGAGAGUAGACCGCCGGCGGUGGUGCGCCACGGUCGGUAAGGCUGAAAGGGUGGUGUAAGAGACCACCGGCGUCCGUGGUGACACGGGCGGCCAGGUAAACCUCGUUCGGAGCAAGGCCAGACAGCAGACGAUGACGCGCCCCGCCGAGUCUGCGGGUAGGCCGCUGGAGGGCGUCGGCAACGGCGCUCCGAGAGAGAUGGCCGUCACCGGCCGGGAGACCGGCCGGGACAGAACCCGGCGUAUGAUCCGGCCCAUUCC